rnacentral:rRNA from 1 species
UGGGGAAUAUUGGACAAUGGGGGCAACCCUGAUCCAGCCAUGCCGCGUGAGUGAUGAAGGCCUUCGGGUUGUAAAGCUCUUUUGGCGGGGACGAUGAUGACGGUACCCGCAGAAUAAGCCCCGGCUAACUUCGUGCCAGCAGCCGCGGUGAGACGAAGGGGGGCUAGCGUUGUUCGGAAUUACUGGGCGUAAAGCGAGUGUAGGCGGUUGCCGUAGUCAGGUGUGAAAGCCUUGAGCUCAACUCAAGAAAUGCACUUGAUACUGGGUGACUAGAGGACCGGAGAGGAUAGUGGAAUUCCCAGUGUAGUGGUGAAAUACGUAGAGAUUGGGAAGAACACCAGUGGCGAAGGCGGCUAUCUGGACGGUUACUGACGCUAAGACUCGAAAGCGUGGGGAGCAAACAGGAUUAGAUACCCUGGUAGUCCACGCCGUAAACGAUGGGUGCUAGACGUUGGCGAGCUUGCUCGUCAGUGUCGCAGCUAACGCGUUAA